UGAACAGAAAUGCAGACUUCUGCAUGAAUGGCCCAGCCACAAAGGGAAGUUGCUGUGCGUACAAAGUAUUUUUCUGAAGUUGAUGGUAGUCAUCACCUACCUCAGAAAAUCGUUUUACUGUAUGGAUUCCUUAAGGGAUUACUCCAUGAAAUAAAUGCGAUGUGGGGACCUGCUUACAGAGUGCGUUUGUGAUUGCUCGUGGUGAAAGCAAAACAGAACAGCUUUAUCCGUCUUGUAUUCUGAAGAAUUGCUUCCCCUGUGAGAUUGGAGCAGAGGAAUCCAGCAACAUGCAGCAGACUCCUGCGAGAAGUGUCCUGUGCAUGCUUAGGCAAUUAUACUCUGAAUUACUUCUUCGGCUCUCAUUCUGGCCUGUUUUCUGGUCCAGUCCACAGCUGUAUAUCACUCUCUGUUGCCAUCAGAAGAAAUGUUCCAGCUUUGUGUUGGUGUAACAGAAAACUGGAUCUGGCUCACUGAGUUAGCGUGCUACAGGAAAUGAUGCUUGAAUGCUGCUGCAUGCAUUAGGAGAACAAGAAUUCUUUCUCCAACAGAACACACUUUGUUCAGUGCCAGUAAUAUCACAGGGAGAUGCUGUCAGGAUGAGAAGUUAACACAUGGGAGCCAGCUGUAGCAACUAAAUGUCUCAAGGAAACUUGUUCUUACAUAAUGAAAUCCAUUCACAAGGAGUAUCACAGAAAGUUGGAGUGACCUGAUAAAACUCUGAGGAGAUUACCAGAUUCAUUCUUGGAAAGGCAAGAAAGUGAAGCUCAAAGCCUGACAGACUUUGAAAAUGAUGAAAAUGUGACUGUUAAUUCAAAAGUUUUAUUUCCAGAUGUUCAGAGCACUGAUUUCUUAAAGACAGCAUGUUGCAUAAUAUGUUGGAAAACCACCUGUAAGUAUUUGUAAAACAAACUAAGACCAAAUCAGAAAAACAGUUAAGUUUAGAAAUGUAGCAGGAUAUACCACGAAAAACUGCUAAAAUUACUGGGGCAGAAUUCUGGAAUUCUGGCUUUGCCAUGAGCUC
ensembl:lncRNA